AAGGGCACCACAAGAACGCGUGGAGCAUGUGGCUUAAUUUGACUCAACGCGGGAAAUCUUACCGGGUCCGGACACACUGAGGAUUGACAGGCAAAAGAUACAAGCUUUUCGGAAUUUGCAUUGUAAAAUAUGCGAGUCCUUUCAUGAUUAUGUGAUAGGUGGUGCAUGGCCGUUCUUAGUUCGUGGAGUGAUCUGUCUGCUUAAUUGCGUUUCACAACGAUUUAAAAUGCUAUGUUUCUGUGUUUGCUGUUCGGUUAAUAUAUUACUUCGGUUUUUUUUAACUUUGAACGCACACAGCGUAGUUUAAAACAAUCGGAAAGCAACGAACGUGACCGCAACCUCUUGUUGCCUUUUAUUUUUAAAAUAUAUGCAAUUUUUUUUUUAUUUUUCUUUCGGGAAAGGUAAAGAAAUUGUGUAUAUUGAAAAAGGCUUUAAAACUAGAGGGACCGCUGUUCUAUUUUCUUAAACCAGAGGAAGAUUGCGGCAAUAACAGGUCUGUGAUGCCCUCAGAUGUUCCGGGCUGCACACGUGCUACAAUGAUUGUUGCAGUGAGCAUCUAUUUUCAAACGCUACCGUUGUGGAUUUUGUAGAGCAUUGAAAUUGCUUCGGCGAGGACAAUGUUUUGCAAUUUAUUCCACGUUACGUGUCAGCUAAACCUGCUUCGAAAGCAAGUAGGUAAUCAAUUGGAAGUAACGAUUUCCUUUUUUGGAAAGCACAACUUCUGGUCCAUUUGGUAUUGCGAGUUAAAGCGUAGAUUUCGGUUUGCGUUUUUUCUUUUGUCGAUAUUCAUCUGGAUAUCUGUGCUAACACUUUUUAAUUCAAGGUGGGGACAGACCAUUGUUAAUUGUUGGUCUCGUUUUAACUAGGAAUGCCUUGUACGGGUUGGUUCAUCAAACCACCCGGAAUACGUCCCUGCCCUUUGUACACACCGCCCGUCGCUCUUACCGAUGGACUUCUCUGUGAGGUUGAGGGACUGGGUCUUUAUCGACCUACGGAAACUUAUUCGAACAGGGUGGUCUAAAGGAAAGAGAAGUCGUAACAAGGCAUCGGUAGGUGAACCUGCAGAAGGAUCA
rnacentral:rRNA from 1 species